AGCCUCGACAGUAGGAGAGUUUCAUAAACACCGGAGCCAGCUAAUUUGUUUCGUCUCUGAGAACGAACUCAAGAAAUGAACUGAGGCAGCACAGAGAAAUAAAAAAUGGGGGAAUUCUCUGAGGGUUGUUGCCCACUCUCUGCAUGCCAAUGAUUUCAUUCAAAUCGAAAGAAAAAUUAACAACCCUUCUCAGUUUUUAAGUACUCGUGCAUGUAUUUAUGUGUGUUUAUGUAUAUAUAUAUAUCUGUGUGUGAUCUCUGGGGCGGUGGAUCUCUGGUUAUUGCUAAUAUGGAAUACUGGCUUCUACUUCACAUUUCCAACACCACCUUUACCAAUCCAAUCUCCUUUUUUAUCUCAGACUUAGCUCCUUUCCACUGUUAUAGGCUGUGACGAUCGAAUUCGAUUGCUCUUGGGUUCAUCUGGGCAUUGAGGUUAUUCGACCCGCAUCUUGGCGGGGCAACCCGGAUGGCCUGUGGAUUGAUCUUGGGCAACUGUGGUUUUGCAGCCAUGGCGGUGUCUCUCCUUCUUUGCCUGAUUACAUCACGGAUCUGAGCCUUACUUAUAUCCACAUUUUAAAAAUAAAUAUCCACACGGGGCGGACACGAAGCUCAAUGCUUUCAAGUCAGCCCGCACCAUUUCUUUGAUUGGCUAUGGCUUUUCUCCCACUGAGGACUGAGACAAUAAGCAAUUGGCAGGUUUUACGUCCUUCAUGUCUAGUUUAAAGGUUUUUUGAAAAAAAAAAUGAAGAAAGAAAAAGAGGGAAGAGGAAGGGCAAAUUGAUAAUCUUAAUUAAAUAAUGUGACUUUUAUUUUAUGUCUUGGGCACUAAGUUUGGUCUUUUAAUUUUAAGAAAAUGAAAAAAAUUAUAAUAAUUUUACUCUCCCCCAUCCCUCCUCUCUCGGUUUUCACACUCACUUAUAUUUCCCUCUCUUUCGGCUUUCUCUCUCCAUCACCAGCAUGCACUCAUUACACACAUUAACAUAUACUCACACACGCAGUUCUCACGCGUACACACAGAUUACACACACACACACACACCAGAAAACACAUGCACACACUAACACAAACAAAUCUGCACACACACCUCACUUUUUCCCUUUGCACUCUCUCACAAAUCACACACUGAAAAAGGAACAAAAGAAGAAGAAAGUGGGACAAAGGACAGCUGGGACUCAUGGAUUUCUUCACCAAAUUCUCCUUGUUCGAGUUGAAAGGCUACCAAUUUAAUGAAGGGCUUUGUUGCUUAGUGAAGGUUUCAGGCUGUGAUGAUAGAGUUAUUUUCUUGAGUUGUUGGCGUGGAGUUGAAUCCGACCCGUAUCUUGGCUGGGCAACCCUGAUGGCAUGUGAUCUGAGAGCGGGUGGGCUUCAAUUAGCUCCUCCUUUCUCCUUCACAUAUGCAACUGGGAAAUUGCAGCCAUGGCGCUGUCGCCUUCUCUUUUGCCUCGUCUUGUUACAGAUCUGAGCCUACGUCAGUACUCACCCAGUGUAUGAUGAUGAUGCUUUAGCUUCGUUCUUUAAAUUUUUCAUGAAAGAUUUCCCCUGUUUAAAUUCCUUAAAUUUUCUAACCCUUUAGUAUCUGUGUAGAAGAGAAUGGCUCCACCAAAAAGCCUCUUUUUUUUUUUUUUGACCAGAAUGAACUCAGGGAUGAAUUGAGGCUGCAGAGAGAAAAAUGGGGAAUUUUCUAAAGGGUUGUUGCCGUCUUUCUGCAUGCCAAUGAUUUCAUCAAAGAACAAAGAAAGAAAAAAAUCAACAGCCCUUUUUCAGCUCUGGUUUCUGAGAUUCUGAAUACUCCGGCAGAGAAAGGUAUCUACUAUUUGUUUGUGCCCGCGCGUGUAAAAACGUGUCUCCACCGUCACCACCAGCGUGAAUGGGUCCAGUCUUUCAGCUGGUUUUCGGGUCCCCUCCAUUGUUAUAGGCUGUGAAGAUCAGAUUCUUUAAUUCUUGAGUUCUUACUUCUUGUGGGCAUUGGGGUGACACGACCCGUAUCUUGGCGGGGCAACAUGGGCGCCUAGUAGAUUGCUCAUGGACCAAUGUGUGGUUUUGCAGCCAUGGCGGAGUCUGUCCCCCUCUGCCUGAUUCUUUCACAGAUGACAGAUCUGAAUUCUGAGCCUUACUACUUCCCUGACUGAAAUAUCCUGAAUUGUUCACGGCCAGAUUUUGGCAAAAAAAAAAAAAAAAAAUUGUGCGAUUCAGAUCACUAGUUGUACAUUAAUUUUGAUAAUAUGUGGAGCUCGUAAAAUUUUGUACUAAAGUUAAAUGUUGUUCAAAUAAAGUUAUGUUGUGUGUAAC